rnacentral:rRNA from 1 species
UACGUAGGGUGCAAGCGUUUGUCCGGAAUUAUUGGGCGUAAAGAGCUCGUAGGCGGUCUGUCGCGUCUGCUGUGAAACUCAGGGCUUAACCCUGAGCUUGCAGUGGGUACGGGCAGACUAGAGUGCGGUAGGGGAGACUGGAAUUCCUGGUAUAGCGGUGAAAUGCGCAGAUAUCAGGAGGAACACCGGUGGCGAAGGCGGCUCUCUGGACCGAUACUGACGCUGAGGCGCGAAAGCGUGGGGGAGCAAACAGG